CUCUGGCAGAUGUGCUUGGGAACAACAGAGAUGGUAUCUUUUUGAAGCCGUGAAAGGGUUAAUCAGAAGCAUGUUUAUGAAAUCAGGUCGCUCACCCUUACAAGCUUUUACUGUGAUCUUUUUGAAUACUUUUGGAAGAUUUAUUGCCUGCUUUUGUAAUUUAUAUUACAUUUUUCUUUCCUUUCUUGAAGCAAUUUUAAUGCUAUGUGUGAUACUGUGAAAAUUACCUGUGACAAGUAUCUUUUCUUGGCAAGUCCUUAAUUGCACAGCUCUUGGUUGCCAACUGGAGAACGUGACUAUCUUCAUGUGGAUGGCCUGCCAGUUUUGGCUGGUAUUUUUGGGAUGACUGAAGGAGUGUAGAGCAGCUGAAGCACAUCUGUAGUUCCAAAGCAAACCCAAGCAAAGGACUUCCAUCCCCCAGCCGGCAGAUCACUGUUUGUACAGAUGCUUCUUCUCAAGAGCCUUUUUGUAGGACUGGUCACACUUGUGGGGACCAGCUUGGCAACGUUAUCAGGAAUCAAUAGCUGGAGUCCUUCAGGAAAGAAGUUGAAGAUGCUGAAGUAUGAAUUCUGGUGUCCUGCUUGUUAGAAUCUGUUAGCAGAGACGUCAAGAUGUGAAGAAGAGAGAUGUGGAAGCCAGUACAAGUGUUCUUUUCUUUGUGCUCCUGAGUUGAGAAAUAAAGAUUUGAGCUGGCUUCCCCAA